AUGGCUCAGAUUGAACGCUGGCGGCAGGCCUAACACAUGCAAGUCGAGCGGUAACAGGGGAAGCUUGCUUCUCGCUGACGAGCGGCGGACGGGUGAGUAAUGUAUGGGGAUCUGCCCGAUAGAGGGGGAUAACUACUGGAAACGGUAGCUAAUACCGCAUAAUCUCUAAGGAGCAAAGCAGGGGAACUUCGGUCCUUGCGCUAUCGGAUGAACCCAUAUGGGAUUAGCUAGUAGGUGAGGUAAUGGCUCACCUAGGCGACGAUCCCUAGCUGGUCUGAGAGGAUGAUCAGCCACACUGGGACUGAGACACGGCCCAGACUCCUACGGGAGGCAGCAGUGGGGAAUAUUGCACAAUGGGCGCAAGCCUGAUGCAGCCAUGCCGCGUGUAUGAAGAAGGCCCUAGGGUUGUAAAGUACUU
rnacentral:rRNA from 1 species